rnacentral:rRNA from 1 species
GAGUUUGAUCAUGGCUCAGAUUGAACGCUGGCGGCAGGCUUAACACAUGCAAGUCGAACGGUAGCAGGAGAAAGCUUGCUUUCUUGCUGACGAGUGGCGGACGGGUGAGUAAUGCUUGGGAAUCUGGCUUAUGGAGGGGGAUAACUACUGGAAACGGUAGCUAAUACCGCGUAAUAUCGAGAGAUUAAAGACUGGGACCUACGGGCCAGUUGCCAUAAGAUGAGCCCAAGUGGGAUUAGGUAGUUGGUGGGGUAAAGGCCUACCAAGCCCGCGAUCUCUAGCUGGUCUGAGAGGAUGACCAGCCACACUGGAACUGAGACACGGUCCAGACUCCUACGGGAGGCAGCAGUGGGGAAUAUUGCACAAUGGGGGGAACCCUGAUGCAGCCAUGCCGCGUGAAUGAAGAAGGCCUUCGGGUUGUAAAGUUCUUUCGGUGGUGAGGAAGGUAUCAACUUUAAUAGAGUUGGUAA